rnacentral:rRNA from 1 species
CACGUAGGGCGCAAGCGUUGUCCGGAAUUAUUGGGCGUAAAGAGCUCGUAGGCGGUCUGUUGCGUCCGCUGUGAAAACCCGGGGCUUAACCCCUGGCUUGCAGUGGAUACGGACAGACUAGAGGUAGGUAGGGGAGAAUGGAAUUCCCGGUGUAGCGGUGAAAUGCGCAGAUAUCAGGAAGAACACCAAUGGCGAAGGCAGCUCUCUGGGACGGUACUGACGCUGAGGAGCGAAAGUGUGGGGAGCGAACAGG